CACUCACACAAGAGGAGCAUCCCGGGGUGUGCGCGGCACCGCUGUCCCUAAAGCCUUGUCUGUCUCCAGCUCUUUUCAAGCCACCGGAAUAGUAACCGGGAGUCAUCAUGGGCACCUGCUGAAGGUGUUGAUAAAAGCAAUCAGAAGAAGAGAACUCCUUUCACAGCGAAAGACCGGUAUUUGCCUGCUGAAAAGCCUUCAGCCAUUAGAGCACAGAAGACAGCUAAGAAGAGGUUCUUGCAAAUACUGAAGAUGACUUACAGUUUUUCACUUGGAGGCAAAACUUAGUUUCCACUGAAGCAAGGAUACAAAGCAGUAUAGCUGCAUCCUCUUAAUUAACCAAUUCAGUGCUGAAGGAAUCAUUAUCAAAUCAUCGGCAAUCUGCAGCAGGCACACCAGGAUAUUUGUUUUAAAGAUUUCUGUUGCUCAUUCUACAGCCAGUAUUAUCAUCAUUAGAGAAGAGACUAUUCCUG